rnacentral:lncRNA from 1 species
GAAUUCUGAACGUGUAAUGCUGGAGCCAGGACCAACUGCAAAGAUCCUUUGGCAUUGUGCUGUCAAGGAAACUGAGGUAAUGUACAACAGAGGGACUUGCUGAGAGUCACCUGCAACAUCCCAGUUCGGCAAGGUGUGCAGUAAACCUUGCUCUGUCCCUUUGGUUUACAAGCUGCUGCCCCUUUGUAUUGAAAUGAAGCAUGCAGGAAGACUCAGUGAAAUUACCUUUGAAAAUUUCCAGCUAGGUACACUGUUCUGAGAUGAAUUUAUAUGCCUCUUCAGAAGACCUGGUGGGAUUGUGCACCAGCUGUCUGCACUGUUAUGAAAGGGGAAAUUUCAAAUCUUUCCUCUGUGAACUGCUGGCCCCAAAGAAAUUUUCCACCAUUGCUGCACCAGAGAGCAACGUGGACAAAGCGUC